rnacentral:rRNA from 1 species
AACGAACGCUGGCGGCAUGCCUAACACAUGCAAAUCGAACGAACCCUUCGGGGUUAGUGGCGCACGGGUCCGUAACGCGUGGGAAUCUGCCCUUUGCUUCGGAAUAACAGUUAGAAAUGACUGCUAAUACCGGAUGAUGUCUUCGGACCAAAGAUUUAUCGGCAAAGGAUGAGCCCGCGUAGGAUUAGGUAGUUGGUGGGGUAAAGGCCUACCAAGCCGACGAUCCUUAGCUGGUCUGAGAGGAUGAUCAGCCACACUGGGACUGAGACACGGCCCAGACUCCUACGGGAGGCAGCAGUGGGGAAUAUUGGACAAUGGGCGCAAGCCUGAUCCAGCAAUGCCGCGUGAGUGAUGAAGGCCUUCGGGUCGUAAAGCUCUUUUACCAGGGAUGAUAAUGACAGUACCUGGAGAAUAAGCUCCGGCUAACUCCGUGCCAGCCGCCGCAGUAACAC